CUCUUAAAUAACAAGUUGCACUCCUCUCAGUCCCUGAGACCCUAACUUGUGAUGUGUGUCUCCUUAAUCCACGGGUUAGGCUCUUGGGAGCUGUGUGCUGUGCGUUGACAUCUUAAAUAGGA
rnacentral:precursor_RNA from 17 species